GACAGAGGGGGCAAGCGUUGCUCGGAAUUACUGGGCGUAAAGGGCGCGUAGGCGGGAUGGCAAGUCGGUCGUGAAAUCCCUCGGCUCAACCGAGGAACGUCGAUCGAUACUGCUGUUCUUGAGGAUUGCAGAGGAGACUGGAAUUCCCGGUGUAGCGGUGAAAUGUGUAGAGAGUCGGGAGGAACGACCGGUGGCGAAGGCGGGUCUCUGGGCAACAACUGGACGCUGAGGAGCGAAAGCGUGGGGAGCGAACAGG
rnacentral:rRNA from 1 species